rnacentral:rRNA from 1 species
UACAGAGGUCCCAAGCGUUGUUCGGAUUCACUGGGCGUAAAGGGUGCGUAGGUGGUGAGGUAAGUCGGAUGUGAAAGCUCGGAGCUCAACUCCGAAAUGGCAUUGGAAACUACCUCGCUAGAGGAUCGGAGGGGAGACUGGAAUUCUCGGUGUAGCAGUGAAAUGCGUAGAUAUCCGGAGGAACACCGGUGGCGAAGGCGGCUUCCUGGACCGACACUGACGCUGAGGCGCGAAAGCUAGGGGAGCAAACGGG